CUUCUGCUCACCGAAUUAGAUUUGCUUUUAACACUGGCACCGGCGAUGUGGGGAUUGUAAACAACCCAAACCCAGGAAGUGGAAGUUGCCCUCAAGCUUCGGUUCAAAUAUUUGAUGGUCCUAGUGUAACUCAGAGUCCAAGAAGAACGUUUUGUGGCAAUUUGCUUUCAACAGAAACGCUGUCAACCGGCGACACCUUAACCCUGCUGGUUUUGAGUAAUGGAGGAAGCGGAACGAAUAUUAAUUUUACAGCUCAUUACACAUCAUUUACGGAAAGCGCAGACUGUGGCGCUGAUUUUCCCUGCAACAACGGUCGAUGU